GGGCUCGCAUGUACUAAGGGUAGCGAGAGUGCUUUGCAAGCACACUGUAGUCAGUUCGAUUCUGACCGGGUCCACCA
rnacentral:tRNA from 1 species